UACGAGGGGGGCAAGCGUUGUUCGGAAUUAUUGGGCGUAAAGGGCGCGUAGGCGGCUUUGCAAGUGGCGGGUGAAAUCCCUCGGCUUAACCGAGGAACUGCCUGCCAGACUGUGAGGCUUGAGACCGGGAGAGGUGAGUGGAAUUCCCAGUGUAGCGGUGAAAUGCGUAGAUAUUGGGAGGAACACCAGUGGCGAAGGCGGCUCACUGGACCGGAACUGACGCUGAGGCGCGAAAGCGUGGGGAGCAAACGGG
rnacentral:rRNA from 1 species